rnacentral:rRNA from 1 species
GAUAAACGCUGGCGGCGUGCCUAACACAUGCAAGUCGAACGGGAAUAAUUUGAAAGCUUGCUGGAUAAUUAUUCUAGUGGCGGAUGGGUGAGUAACGCGUGAGAACGUGUCCCAGACAGGGGGACAACAGAUGGAAACGUCUGCUAAUACCCCAUAAGCCGGGAGGCAAAAGGAGCAAUCCGGUUUGGGAGCGGCUCGCGUCCUAUCAGCUAGUAGGUGAGGUAACGGCUCACCUAGGCGAAGACGGGUAGCCGGACUGAGAGGUUGUACGGCCACAUUGGAACUGAGAACGGUCCAGACUCCUACGGGAGGCAGCAGUGGGGAAUAUUGGGCAAUGGAGGAAACUCUGACCCAGCGACGUCGCGUGAGUGAAGAAAUCCCUCGGGAUGUAAAGCUCUGUUGUACGGGAAGAUGAAAAAGACGGUACCGUACGAGGAAGCCCCGGCAAACUACGUG